UCUUUCAUANUUCAUCGGUAGAAUGUCUGAUUGUCAGUCAGGAAAGCUGGGUUCGAUUCUCAGUGAAAGAG
rnacentral:tRNA from 1 species